rnacentral:lncRNA from 1 species
AGUGACUCCCCGGGCGGUUUAUCCACCUGAUUUGAGAGCCUGUGUCCGCGCCAAAGCCUCCACAGACACGUUUGUAAUGGUUUUUUUUUUUUUUAAGGAUUUUAUUUAUUUAUUCAUGAGACACACAGAGAGAGGCAGAGACCCAGGCAGAGGGAGAAGCAGGCUUCCUGCAGGGAGCCCGACCUGGGACUCGAUCUGGGACCCGGGGUCACGCCCUGGGCCGGAGGCAGCCGCUCCUCCGCUGAGCCCCCCGGGCGCCCCUGUAAUGGUUUUAUUGCCAAGGGCCGGGAGCCGACCACAGGCCCAUGAGGAGGUGACCGUGGGCCGCGCACGUGGGACAGUGGCCGGUGAUCAGGCCGGAGGCAGCGGCCGGGGACUCAGGGAAGCCACAGAGCUGGGCUCGAAAGCCAAAAAGGCGACUCAGUAGGUCAGGGGACCGCAGGAAGGACAAGGAGACAAGCCACGGCAGGAGGACCCGGGCAGGAGGACCCCGGCAGGGGGACUGGGUCUGUGACAGGGGCCUGGAGCUGCAGCGGGACGGAGGCGGUUUCCCCGGGGCGCUCGUCACACCCUGGCCCCCGGCAGGUGCGCUGGGACUGGGUGGCGGAGUCGCUGGGUGCUGGCUGCUGGGUGCUGGGUGCUGCGAGCCGGGUUGCCUGCCGUGGGGUGGGAGUUGGCCGAGAAGCAGGGGGCUGGGGCUGGAGGUGGGAAGGCCGUGGGUGCUCUCGGUUGCUUUACAAGAAGCACAGGCGGUCGCAGGUAGGAAGGUGCGUGCACCUGUGUGCACGUGAGCACAUGCACGCGUCACUCCCCGCUCUGUCACCAGAAGGGGCUGCAAGCCAGGGCACCCCAGGGGCACUGAGCACGCCCAGCCGCCCCAGUGUGGCCUCUGAUUCCAUCCUCCAAGGAAAGGAGAAGCUGGAGGCCAGCCGACCCUAGGACCGAGGCGGGGGUGUCCAGGGAGCCUGCUGCGUCCCGCCGGGGCCAGAGGGGGGACACGCGGGCGACGAUCCACACCGCGGGGCCUUUGGAGUGAAGCAGUAAGUGGAUUACAGCCCACAGCAUCCCGGAUACUGAAAUAUCCACUGGUGGGGACACACGACAAAUGAGGGGAUGGAGGACACACGAGCUCCCACGCAGACCUGGGAAUCAUUUAUGGAGAGGCUCCCCGCUCGAGAAGGAGAGGCGUAGGCGGAGCAGGACCCCUGGGCCCACGCGGUGACGUCCCCCCAAAGAGAAUGGUCACACGCCCUGAGGACAAUGAACACACCCCAGCCAGGGCUCACGGCCCGUCCUCGGUGACAAAUCACACUGACAGCAGGGACCCCUGAGUGACGUGAUGAGAAGCCUUCAGCUCCGUGGUCUUCCUCCCCAAACCCAUCGCCCAACGUGAGACAUGUCCCGAUGGAGGGAGGGUCCCAGCACCCCCAGAACUGCUGGGCCACCUGAAACCAAGGACAGGAGAGCCAGCACAGCCCAGAGGCGUCGGGGAAAUGUGACGUUCAGGGUGGAGAGAGGGUGUGACGGGAACCAAGGAAACCUGAACAGAGUGUAGACUUUGAUUAACCACAGGGAGCCUGUGCUGGUCCCAGAUUCGGAUUCGUGGGGAGGGCGGGAGACGUGGGGCGGGGCGGAUGGGGACUCGGGACAGCCGUGACCCCCGAGUUCUGGGAAUCCGAAACUGUCCUAAGAUUGAAAGUUGAUUAAAAAGAAAAUGAAGAAAAAUUUUAAAAUUAAAAAAAAAAGAAAAUGAAGGAUGGAAGGGAGGGAGGUAGGGAGGGGAGGAAGAGAAAGAAGCAGCAGACAAUGGGCAUCGCUGGGGGUGGGGUGGGGGGGGCGUCGAACACCCCGCAUGAACGUGUCUUUUCCUCUUCAAGGCACAGGAGAGAAACAGACGGCCUACCCCGGGCUCACAAGCUCUCCUCAGCGAUACACGGUGAUACACGGCGAUCACUUCUCCUUUAUACUUCCCAAGUGCUUGGGGCGCGCGGGGGGCUCAGCGGUUGAGCCCCUGCCUUGGCCCAGGGCGUGACCCCAGGGUCCCGGGAUCGGAUCCCACAUCAGGCCCCCCGCAUGGAGCCUGCUUCUCCCUCUACCUGUGUCUCUGCCUCUCUCUGUGUCUCUUAUGAAUAAAUAAAUUAAAUCUUAAAAAAAUAUAUUUUCCAAGUGCUUUACCUUUACACACAGACAUGAUGCAUUAUUUCUU